GACGAACGCUGGCGGCGUGCUUAACACAUGCAAGUCGAACGAAGAGCGAUGGAAGCUUGCUUCUAUCAAUCUUAGUGGCGAACGGGUGAGUAACGCGUAAUCAACCUGCCCUUCAGAGGGGGACAACAGUUGGAAACGACUGCUAAUACCGCAUACGAUCUAAUCUCGGCAUCGAGGAUAGAUGAAAGGUGGCCUCUACAUGUAAGCUAUCACUGAAGGAGGGGAUUGCGUCUGAUUAGCUAGUUGGAGGGGUAACGGCCCACCAAGGCGAUGAUCAGUAGCCGGUCUGAGAGGAUGAACGGCCACAUUGGGACGGAGACACGGCCCAGACUCCUACGGGAGGCAGCAGUGGGGAAUCUUCCGCAAUGGACGAAAGUCUGACGGAGCAACGCCGCGUGAGGGAUGACGGCCUUCGGGUUGUAAAGCUCUGUUAAUCGGGACGAAAGGCCUUCUUGCGAAUAGGGAGAAGGAUUGACGGUACCGGAAGAGAAAGCCACGGCUAACUACGUG
rnacentral:rRNA from 1 species